rnacentral:rRNA from 1 species
GACGAACGCUGGCGGCGUGCCUAAUACAUGCAAGUAGAACGCUGAAGGAGGAGCUUGCUUCUCUGGAUGAGUUGCGAACGGGUGAGUAACGCGUAGGUAACCUGCCUGGUAGCGGGGGAUAACUAUUGGAAACGAUAGCUAAUACCGCAUAAGAGUAGAUGUCGCAUGACAUUUGCUUAAAAGGUGCAAUUGCAUCACUACCAGAUGGACCUGCGGUGUAUUAGCUAGUUGGUGAGGUAACGGCUCACCAAGGCAACGAUACAUAGCCGACCUGGGAGGGUGAGCGGCCACACUGGGAAUGGGACACGGCCCAGACUCCUACGGGAGGCAGCAGUAGGGAAUCUUCGGCAAUGGACGGAAGUCUGACCGAGCAACGCCGCGUGAGUGAAGAAGGUUUUCGGAUCGUAAAGCUCUGUUGUAAGAGAAGAACGAGUGUGAGAGUGGAAAGUUCACACUGUGACGGUAUCUUACCAGAAAGGGACGGCUAACUACGUG